CCUACGGGAGGCAGCAGUGGGGAAUAUUGGACAAUGGGGGAAAGCCUGAUGCAGCAACGCCGCGUGAGUGAUGAAGGACUUCGGGACGUAAAGCUCUGUCCUCAAGGAAGAAAAUGACGGUACUUGAGGAGGAAGCCCCGGCUAACUACGUGCCAGCAGCCGCGGUAAUACGUAGGGGGCUAGCGUUAUCCGGAAUUACUGGGCGAAAAGGGUGCGUAGGGGGUUUCUUAAGUCAGAGGUGAAAGGCUACGGCUAAACCGUGGUAAGGCUUUGAAACUGGGGAACGUGAGGGCAGGAGAGGAGAGUGGAAUUCCUAGUGUAGCGGUGAAAUGCGUAGAUAUUAGGAGGAACACCAGUUGCGAAGGCGGCUCUCUGGACUGUAACUGACGCUGAGGCACGAAAGCGUGGGGAGCAAACAGGAUUAGAUACCCGAGUAGUC
rnacentral:rRNA from 1 species